rnacentral:rRNA from 1 species
AAGCCUAACACAUGCAAGUCGAACUGUCAAUUAUUUUUAGCCUCUGGCUAUAGGAAAUUGUUAGUGGCAGACGGGUGAGUAAUGCGUAGGAAUCUACCUAGUAGUACGGAAUAGCCAUUAGAAAUGGUGGGUAAUACUGUAUAAUCCCCGAGGGGGAAAGAUUUAUCGCUAUUAGAUGAGCCUACGUUAGAUUAGCUAGUUGGUGAGGUAAUGGCUUACCAAGGCUAUGAUCUAUAGCUGGUCUGAGAGGACGAUCAGCCACACUGGAACUGAGAUACGGUCCAGACUCCUACGGGAGGCAGCAGUGGGGAAUAUUGGACAAUGGGCGAAAGCCUGAUCCAGCUAUGCCGCGUGAGGAAGA